rnacentral:misc_RNA from 1 species
GGAAAAUUGUGAGGCUAUAUUGAGGCGGCUGCAGAACAAAAAAGAAGAGCUGCAAAAAGAGGCUGACAGGUUGAAUGAUCUAGCUGAGGAAGCACAAAUCAAUGCUUUAAAAGCCGAGGAAGAUGUUUCAAACAUAAUGCUUUUAGCCGAACAAGCUGUUGCUUAUGAGCUCGAGGCUACUCAACGGGUGAAUGAUGCGGAGAUUGCUUUGCAGAAAGCUGAGAAGAACCUAGCUGUAUCACCUCUUGACACUGCAGAAACUUCAGUCGUACAGAAUGGAUCAUCAGCUCUAGGCCAAGUAUCAGUUGAUGGGACACUUUGUGAGGAUGAGGUAUUCCCUAGAAAUUCAGUUGAGAGUGUUAUUGAUAAAGAUCGGGAGGUACAACUGGAGGAUGCUUGGGUGGCCAGUGGGCCUUUGUCUGAUGAGAGUGACGAUGAAGAUAGAAAGUUAGUUCUAGACUCCUCAAAAGAUUCUGAUUCUGAUGCAGAAAAACCAAAAAGUGUUCAAACUGUGAGGCAGGAGGUCAACAAGGAAUCAGCCAGGGACAGUUCACCGCUUAGUGCUCCCAAAACAUUAUUGAAGAAAUCAUCCCGUUUCUUGCCUGCAUCUUUCUUCUCAUUUCCCUCAGAUGGUGAAGAGUUCACACCUGCUUCAGUUUUCCAGAGUCUCAUUGAGUCGGCAAGGAAUCAAUUGCCCAAGCUGGUGGUUGGCUCAUUACUGAUGGGAGCAGGAAUUGCCUUUUACGUCAAUCGAUCAGAGCGAGUUUUUCAGCAGCCAGACAUAAUUACCACAAGCAUUGAUGAGGUCUCGACAAAUGCAAGACCUCUGGUUCGACAAAUAAGAAAACUGCCCAAGAAACUUAAGACACUAAUGGAGAUGCUUCCUCAUCAAGAGAUAAAUGAGGAAGAAGCUUCUCUUUUUGACAUGUUAUG